GUUGAUUCUGCCGGAGGCCACUGCUAUCGGAGUUCGAUUAAGCCAUGCGAGUCGAGAGGUGCGAGACCUCGGCAUACUGCUCAGUAACACGUGGACAACCUACCCUAUGGAGGGGGAUAACCCCGGGAAACUGGGGAUAAUACCCCAUAGAUUAUGAAUGCUGGAAUGCUUUGUAGUUGAAAGGUCCGCCGCCAUAGGAUGGGUCUGCGGCCGAUUAGGUUGUUGUUGGGGUAACGGCCCAACAAGCCUGUAAUCGGUACGGGUUGUGGGAGCAAGAGCCCGGAGAUGGAUUCUGAGACACGAAUCCAGGCCCUACGGGGCGCAGCAGGCGCGAAAACUUUACAAUGCGGGAAACCGUGAUAAGGGAACUCCGAGUGCCCGUAAAAUCGGGCUGUCCAUCUGUUUAAAUAACAGGUGAAGAAAGGGCCGGGCAAGACCGGUGCCAGCCGCCGCGGUAAUACCGGCGGCUCGAGUGGUGGCCACUAUUACUGGGCUUAAAGCGUUCGUAGCUGGUCUGUUAAGUCUCUGGGGAAAUCUUCCGGCUUAACCGGAAGGCGUCUCAGGGAUACUGGCAGACUAGGGACCGGAAGAGGUGAGGGGUACUCCAGGGGUAGGAGUGAAAUCCUGUAAUCCUUGGGGGACCACCUGUGGCGAAGGCGCCUCACCAGGACGGCUCCGACAGUGAGGGACGAAAGCUGGGGGAGCAAACCGGAUUAGAUACCCGGGUAGUCCCAGCCGUAAACGAUGUGCGUUAGGUGUAUCGGUGACCACGAGUCACCGAGGUGCCGAAGAGAAAUCGUGAAACGUACCGCCUGGAAGUACGGUCGCAAGGCUGAAACUUAAAGCAAUU
rnacentral:rRNA from 1 species